GUUGCCAGUCAUUAAGGUUGGGCACUACUAAGGAGACUGGCCGGUGUUAAACCGGAGGAAGGUGGGGAUGACGUCAAGUCCUCAUGGCCUUUAUGACCAGGGCUACACACGUACUACAAUGGCCGGUACAAAGGGCAGCGACACAGCGAUGUGAAGCGAAUCCCGAAAAGCCGGUCUCAGUCCGGAUUGGAGUCUGCAACUCGACUCCAUGAAGUUGGAAUCGCUAGUAAUCGCGGAUCAGCACGCCGCGGUGAAUACGUUCCCGGGCCUU
rnacentral:rRNA from 1 species